GAUGCCAAAGUCGRAACGGUAACAGGUCUAGCUUGCUAGAUGCUGACGAGUGGCGGACGGGUGAGUAACGCGUAGGAAUCUACCUUGUAGUGGGGGAUAACUUGGGGAAACCCAAGCUAAUACCGCAUGAGCCCUAAGGGGGAAAGCAGGGGACCGAAAGGCCCUGUGCUAUGAGAUGAGCCUGCGUCGGAUUAGCUAGUUGGUGGGGUAAAGGCCUACCAAGGCGAGGAUCCGUAGCUGGUCUGAGAGGACGACCAGCCACACUGGGACUGAGACACGGCCCAGACUCCUACGGGAGGCAGCAGUGGGGAAUAUUGGACAAUGGGCGCAAGCCUGAUCCAGCAAUGCCGCGUGUGUGAAGAAGGCCUGCGGGUUGUAAAGCACUUUCAGUGGGGAGGAAGGUCUCAAUGCUAAUAGUAUUGAGAAUUGACGUUACCUACAGAAGAAGCACCGGCUAACUACGUGCCAGCAGCCGCGGUAAUACGUAGGGGGCAAGCGUUGUCCGGAAUCAUUGGGCGUAAAGAGCUCGUAGGCGGUUCAGUAAGUCGGGUGUGAAAGCUCCGAGCUCAACUCGGAGAGGCCACUCGAUACUGCUGUGACUAGAAUCCAGUAGGGGAGUGUGGAACUCCUGGUGUAGCGGUGAAAUGCGCAGAUAUCAGGAAGAACACCAKCGGCGAAGGCGGCACUCUGGGCUGGUAUUGACGCUGAGGAGCGAAAGUGUGGGUAGCAAACAGGAUUAGAUACCCUGGUAGUUCCACACCGUAAACGUUGGGCACUAGGUGUGGGGGAGGGAUCAAMCCCUUUUCCGUGGCCGUASSCUAAACGCMAUUAAGUGCCCCCGCCCUGGGGGAGUU
rnacentral:rRNA from 1 species